rnacentral:rRNA from 1 species
ACGGAAGGCAGCAGUGGGGGAUAUUGCACAAUGGGCGCAAGCCUGAUGCAGCGACGCCGCGUGAGUGAAGAAGUAUUUCGGUAUGUAAAGCUCUAUCAGCAGGGAAGAAAAUGACGGUACCUGACUAAGAAGCUCCGGCUAAAUACGUGCCAGCAGCCGCGGUAAUACGUAUGGAGCAAGCGUUAUCCGGAUUUACUGGGUGUAAAGGGAGCGUAGGCGGUGAUGCAAGUCAGAAGUGAAAACCCGGGCUCAACCCGUGGAUUGCUUUUGAGACUGUGUUGCUGGAGUACAGGAGGGGCAGGCGGAAUUCCUGGUGUAGCGGUGAAAUGCGUAGAUAUCAGGAGGAACACCGGUGGCGAAGGCGGCCUGCUGGACUGUAACUGACGCUGAGGCUCGAAGGCGUGGGGAGCAAACAGGAUUAGAUACCCUGGUA